AUGCACCGAAGCUGCGGCAGCGACACUGUGUGUUGUUGGGUAGGGGAGCGUUCUGUAAGCCUGUGAAGGUGUACUGUAAGGUAUGCUGGAGGUAUCAGAAGUGCGAAUGCUGACAUAAGUAACGAUAAAGCGGGUGAAAAGCCCGCUCGCCGGAAGACCAAGGGUUCCUGUCCAACGUUAAUCGGGGCAGGGUGAGUCGACCCCUAAGGCGAGGCCGAAAGGCGUAGUCGAUGGGAAACAGGUUAAUAUUCCUGUACUUGGUGUUACUGCGAAGGGGGGACGGAGAAGGCUAUGUUGGCCGGGCGACGGUUGUCCCGGUUUAAGCGUGUAGGCUGGUUUUCCAGGCAAAUCCGGAAAAUCAAGGCUGAGGCGUGAUGACGAGGCACUACGGUGCUGAAGCAACAAAUGCCCUGCUUCCAGGAAAAGCCUCUAAGCAUCAGGUAACAUCAAAUCGUACCCCAAACCGACACAGGUGGUCAGGUAGAGAAUACCAAGGCGUUUGAGAGAACUCGGGUGAAGGAACUAGGCAAAAUGGUGCCGUAACUUCGGGAGAAGGCACGCUGAUAUGUAGGUGAAGUCCCUCGCGGAUGGAGCUGAAAUCAGUCGAAGAUACCAGCUGGCUGCAACUGUUUAUUAAAAACACAGCACUGUGCAAACACGAAAGUGGACGUAUACGGUGUGACGCCUGCCCGGUGCCGGAAGGUUAAUUGAUGGGGUCAGCGCAAGCGAAGCUCUUGAUCGAAGCCCCGGUAAACGGCGGCCGUAACUAUAACGGUCCUAAGGUAGCGAAAUUCCUUGUCGGGUAAGUUCCGACCUGCACGAAUGGCGUAAUGAUGGCCAGGCUGUCUCCACCCGAGACUCAGUGAAAUUGAACUCGCUGUGAAGAUGCAGUGUACCCGCGGCAAGACGGAAAGACCCCGUGAACCUUUACUAUAGCUUGACACUGAACAUUGAGCCUUGAUGUGUAGGAUAGGUGGGAGGCUUUGAAGUGUGGACGCCAGUCUGCAUGGAGCCGACCUUGAAAUACCACCCUUUAAUGUUUGAUGUUCUAACGUGGACCCGUGAUCCGGGUUGCGGACAGUGUCUGGUGGGUAGUUUGACUGGGGCGGUCUCCUCCUAAAGAGUAACGGAGGAGCACGAAGGUUGGCUAAUCCUGGUCGGACAUCAGGAGGUUAGUGCAAUGGCAUAAGCCAGCUUGACUGCGAGCGUGACGGCGCGAGCAGGUGCGAAAGCAGGUCAUAGUGAUCCGGUGGUUCUGAAUGGAAGGGCCAUCGCUCAACGGAUAAAAGGUACUCCGGGGAUAACAGGCUGAUACCGCCCAAGAGUUCAUAUCGACGGCGGUGUUUGGCACCUCGAUGUCGGCUCAUCACAUCCUGGGGCUGAAGUAGGUCCCAAGGGUAUGGCUGUUCGCCAUUUAAAGUGGUACGCGAGCUGGGUUUAGAACGUCGUGAGACAGUUCGGUCC
rnacentral:rRNA from 1 species